rnacentral:rRNA from 1 species
UACGAAGGGGGCUAGCGUUGUUCGGAAUCACUGGGCGUAAAGGGCGCGUAGGCGGCCGAUCAAGUCGGGGGUGAAAGCCUGUGGCUCAACCACAGAAUGGCCUUCGAUACUGGUUGGCUCGAGACCGGAAGAGGUGAGUGGAACUGCGAGUGUAGAGGUGACAUUCGUAGAUAUUCGCAAGAACACCAGUGGCGAAGGCGGCUCACUGGUCCGGUGCUGACGCUGAGGCGCGAAAGCGUGGGGAGCAAACAGG